rnacentral:rRNA from 1 species
GAUUGCAGGCUGCAACUCGCCUGCAUGAAGUCGGAAUUGCUAGUAAUCGCGAAUCAGAAUGUCGCGGUGAAUACGUUCCCGGGCCUUGUACACACCGCCCGUCACACCAUGAGAGUUGGGGAUACCCGAAGCCUGUGAGCUAACAGUAAUGGAGCAGCAGUCGAAGGUAGAAUCAAUGAUUGGGGUGAAGUCGUAACAAGGUACC